rnacentral:sRNA from 1 species
CAUAUGAAAAAAAAACAAGCCAUUAUGCCUUGCAACAAUACUUUUAAUUUCUGAAUCUGGAAUGUUGGGAUCAUUAUUUUGGUUUUAUUUUUAGAGUGAAACUAACAUGUAUGAUAGCAAUUUAAGUAGACUAUGUAUGUGGCUUACUAGAUUAAUGCUUUGAACUUGACAAAAAAUAACAUUUUUAAACUGAAAUUACCUUUCUUAAAUACCUUAUAUUCUUUAGACAACCAAAAACAAAGUUAUGGUGUAUAAGUUGCGCAGUGUUUGUCUUUACAUGCCCCAGGAUCAGUUAAUGAACUGGAAUACUGGCACAAUUGAAGAAUUAGUAGCCAGUCACUUUGUUUAAAUGGCUAUGUUGCUGAUAGUUUUCUCUCUCUAGGAUGCAGCAUUCUACGGGGCAACCAGAGAGAGUUUUUUUAGUCUGUGAAUAGUUGUACACUUUGAAUGUUUUAAUUUUUUUUUGUUACAGAUGUAUUAUUAACUAACUUUAAUAACAAACUCUAAAAUUAGAGUUGAUGAUGGAAUUCAA